rnacentral:rRNA from 1 species
GUGGGGAAUAUUGGACAAUGGGCGAAAGCCUGAUCCAGCCAUGCCGCGUGUGUGAAGAAGGUCUUCGGAUUGUAAAGCACUUUAAGUUGGGAGGAAGGGCAGUAAGUUAAUACCUUGCUGUUUUGACGUUACCGACAGAAUAAGCACCGGCUAACUUCGUGCCAGCAGCCGCGGUAAUACGAAGGGUGCAAGCGUUAAUCGGAAUUACUUGGCGUAAAGCGCGCGUAGGUGGUUCAGCAAGUUGGAGGUGAAAUCCCCGGGCUCAACCUGGGAACUGCCUCCAAAACUACUGGGCUAGAGUACGGUAGAGGGUAGUGGAAUUUCCUGUGUAGCGGUGAAAUGCGUAGAUAUAGGAAGGAACACCAGUGGCGAAGGCGACUACCUGGACUGAUACUGACACUGAGGUGCGAAAGCGUGGGGAGCAAACAGGAUUAGAUACCCCUGUAGUCC